rnacentral:rRNA from 1 species
AUUGAACGCUGGCGGCAUGCUUUACACAUGCAAGUCGGGCGAGCGGCGGGCGGGUGAGUAAUGGCUGGGGAACUGCAUGUUGGAGGGGGGUCAAUACGGGAAACGGUAGCUAAUACCGCAUAACAUCAGAUGUGCCCAGAUGGGAUUAGCUUGUAGGUGGGGUAACAGCUCACCAAGGCGACGAUCCCUAGCUGGUCUGAGAGGAUGACCAGCCACACUGGAACUUAGACACGGUCCAGACUCCUACGGGAGGCAGCAGUGGGGAAUAUUGCACAAUGGGCGCAAGCCUGAUGCAGCCAUGCCGGGUGUGUGAAGAAGGCCUUCGGGUUGUAAAGCACUUUCAGCGGGGAGGCGUUACCCGCAGAAGAAGCACCGGCUAACUCCGUGCCAGCAGCCGCGGUAAUUC